ensembl:lncRNA
AUUUCUGUGUAUCAUGCUUCAUUUUGAUUUUUACAUUUAAGCAGGUCCACAAAUCCACCAGAAAACUCUCCAGAGGAGGAAAGGAAUGGCACUGUUGAAGUGAAGGUACAUCCUCCGUACCCCUUUAACCAGAGCCUGCUGUCCAGUGACGACGGUGAAGAAGAUGAGCAGGAUGAAGCCGCCAAUCUGCCUGCUACAUCCUGGCACCCAAAGCCUCUCGGGCUAUGCACUUUUGGAUGUCGCACAUUCGGUUGGAGCGUCUUCACAUUUGACCGCCGUUCGUAUCACCUGCGGUUUGCCCUUGGUGCCAUGUUGGAGCGGCAUGUCGGCACACAUUUGUGGAAGAAAAUGCCUCAAGUAUCAUCAGGUCUCAGAUCACGCCAUGUCAAACCUCAAAUCGAAACAACUGUCAGAACUUUGGACAAACCUUCCAAAUCCACUGGCUUCCACAGCCUUGAGUCUACCUCGCUGGGACAACUGGCAAUGAAAAGAAGUCAGCAGACCUUUCACACUACCAAACUGCCUUAUUCCACUGACUCUGCAUGCCUUGGGGCUGAUAGACAGUGCAAGGCUCAGCUUAAGUUGGACCUUAUGCAAAAUGCAAGUGCAGCACAGAAGGUGCGGUACACAAAAAUGUUGCACAGUAGUGAGGACAAAUCCUCCGGAUACAUCAGGGAACCCCCACACAUCCCCUCCUCUCAAGGACCAGCCACUAGUACCUUGUCCCACAGAAAGAAGCCAUGCCCUCCUCUCCCCAAGAAGCCAGCUGAGAGACAGCUGUCAGGUUUGGAGAAGUGUUUUCCUGCAUCAACUUACUGUUCUCCCCGCAGCAGAGGUAAGCCCCAAGAGGCAAAGCAGAAAGUGAUGGGGUCUGACCAAAGGAAUCUAGCCCAAAAGCGCAAAGGUAACGAACAAAGGUCGCUGGCCCUUAGCUCCUCACUAUCCAGAGCCUCCAAGUAUAAAUGUCUGUCCUCCACUUCCCGCUCUAGCCUCGUGUCCUGGAAGGGAGAGAGUAUUGAGGACGUGCUUUCUUGAGGAUUGGAACAAAGAUCUGACCCAUGAGACCUAAUUCCCGUUUGUAGUGUGGUCUUUACAAACAUGAUUCUGCAUGGUGCAUCUUUUUUUUUAAACAUUAGUGAAUUUAUAUGUGAGUGACACUUGUUUACAUUGCAUCUUUAUAGCCAAUGAAAAGUCAGCCUUAAAAGGUCCACUUGGAGAAGAGGCCUCAGCCGGGCCAUUGGUGCUGCCAACAUAGUGAGUGUGUGUGUCAUUUUGUUUAUGUUAAUUUAUCUCAGUUUUUAUGCACAAAUAUCAGGAAAAAGCAUUUGUAUCUGUAUAUGUAUUACUGUAUUUGGGUAUACUAUGUCACAGUCGGUUAUCUGUGUAAGAACCUAAACAUACCUCAGUCUGCUGCUAAAAUUAAAAGACAUCUC